UACGGGGGGGGCAAGCGUUGUUCGGAAUUACUGGGCGUAAAGGGCGCGUAGGCGGCCUGCUAAGUCGGACGUGAAAUCCCUCGGCUCAACCGGGGAACUGCGUCCGAUACUGGUGGGCUCGAAUCCGGGAGAGGGAUGUGGAAUUCCAGGUGUAGCGGUGAAAUGCGUAGAUAUCUGGAGGAACACCGGUGGCGAAGGCGGCAUCCUGGACCGAUAUUGACGCUGAUGCGCGAAAGCCAGGGGAGCAAACGGG
rnacentral:rRNA from 1 species